rnacentral:lncRNA from 1 species
AUGAUGUAGGUUCCAAAUCGACGAUCGGCUCCGUUAGACUUAAUCUACACUAUUAAAUUAUUUGAAAGUUAAAUUUCAUAAUUUUUCGAUAUCAUUUACCUAUCAAACAAAUAGUCUAAAAAUGAACGGCUGAAAAUAAAAAUCUCAGAAAAAGACUUGAAUUUAAGAUCAGAUGUAUUGAUCUUACUCUAAAUAGUGAAAAAAAAAAUUUAUAAAAAUUUCAUCAGAUUUGGAUUGUUUUAUACCAUUAAAUUCACAAACGCAUCACAUCUACCAUUAAAAUUGUCAAUUUUGAGAUUUUUUGAUCUAACCAAAUGAUGUCGAAAAAUUAUAAAAUUUAAUUUUCAAACAUUUUUAAUAGUGUAGAUCAAGUCUAAUGGAGCCGAUCGUCGAUUUGGAAGCCACAUCAUGAAAAACAACUUGGUAGCACGGAGGCCUCUGUGCUACCGAUAGUAUACCGGCUUAGCUCUAUAUAAAGAGUUCGGCUGGUAUACUAUCGGUAACGCAGAGACCUCCAUGCUACCAAGUUAUUUUCAAUGAUGUAGGUUCCAAAUCGACGAUAGGCUUCAUUAGACUUGAUCUACACUAUUAAAAUUAUUUGAAAAAUAAAUUUCAUAAUUUUUCGUCAUCAUUUACCUAUCAAACGAUUAGUCUAAAAAUGAAUGGUUGAAAAUAAAACUCUCAGAAAAAAUGAUAAAAAAGACUUGAAUUUAAAAUCAGAGGUACUAAUCUUCCUCUAAAUAAUGAAAAUAAUUUUCUAUAAAAAUUUUAUUAGAUUUGGAUUGUUUUACACUGUUAAAUUUACAAACGCAUCACAUCUACCUUUAAAAUUGUCAAUUUUGAAAUCUUUUGAGCACUAACCAAAUGAUGUCGAAAAAUUAUAAAAUUUAAUAUUUAAAUAUUUUUAAUAGUGUAGAGCAAGUCUAAUAGAACCGAUCGUCGAUUUGGAAGUCACAUCAUGAAAAACAACUUGGUAGCACGGAGGCCUCCGUGCUACUAGUAAUAUAUCAGCCGAUAGUACUCCAGCCGAACUCUAUAUAGAACUAUGCUGGAAUACUCUAGCAAUAGCACCAAGCUAUUGGUGCUAUUAAUUUUUUAGCUCUUGGAUUGAGAAAUGAGUGGUUAGAAUAAUAUGGGCCCCCUACGGUUGAGUGAGUGGUUGGUUGAAUAGUAUAAUUUAACGGGUAAAAAUAAUUAUAGGGUUAAAUCUAACGGUGGAAAACUCGAUAGCACCAAAUCCUUGGUGCUAUCGAUAGUACUCCAGCCUAACUCUCUCUCUCUCUCUCUCUCUCUCUCUCUCUCUCUCUAUAUAUAUAUAUAUAUAUAUAUAUAUAUAU